rnacentral:lncRNA from 1 species
GGUUAGACAAAACUAGAUCCAAACACAAAAUGAUUUGGUCCACAAAACAUUGAUUUCAGCUAUGAUGAAAAAGAACAAUUUCGACAAAAAUGAAGAUGUUUUAAACGUUGAUUACCCAGAUGAAACUCGGGUGAAUCCUAGAACGAAACGCACAUCAGAGUCAAAUCUAAAUAUUGAAAUGGAGUUUAGAGACGACGCAAUUUUGGCACUGUGGUGACAAAAUUUGAGGAAACAGAUGAAGGGGGAAGAAAGAAACGCACUGUAUAAGUUUGACUCGAAGCUAAUCAAAACUGGAAUGUAAUUGUGAAAGCUGGGAAGAGAGAAGUACCUAGAGAGAUCAGGUCGGCAAAUUUCAAGAUCUUGGUGAGAGCGUAAUAACCCAAAAAUGGAAGACGUGACGAAGGUAAAUAGAGAAAUGGAAAAUCAAUGGACAAUGACGGUGUGGGAGACUCGAGACUUGCGGCUUCCGUCUACGAACCACGAUGCUUCUCUCUUUCUCUCUCGUCGGCGGCUCACAAGUUUGGGCCUGUUAAAAGCCCUAUAGAGAGACUAUAGUUUUG